CCUACGGGUGGCAGCAGUCGAGAAUCAUUCACAAUGGGGGAAACCCUGAUGGUGCGACGCCGCGUGGGGGAAUGAAGGUCUUCGGAUUGUAAACCCCUGUCAUGUGGGAGCAAAUUAAAAAGAUAGUACCACAAGAGGAAGAGACGGCUAACUCUGGGCCAGCAGCCGCGGUAAUACAGAGGUCUCAAGCGUUGUUCGGAAUCACUGGGCGUAAGGCGUGCGUAGGCUGUUUCGUAAGUCGUGUGUGAAAGGCGCGGGCUCAACCCGCGGACGGCACAUGAUACUGCGAGACUAGAGUAAUGGAGGGGGAACCGGAAUUCUCGGUGUAGCAGUGAAAUGCGUAGAUAUCGAGAGGAACACUCGUGGCGAAGGCGGGUUCCUGGACAGUAACUGACGCUGAGGCACGAAGGCCAGGGGAGCGAAAGGGAUUAGAUACCCCUGUAGUU
rnacentral:rRNA from 1 species